ACAAGCCAUGCAUGCCCGCACACCCGGGAAGCGGCGGACGGCUCAGGACAACGGUUGCACCCCCCGCGGCGGUCCCUGCUAGCCGGACACCGCAGGCAACCCGGCGCCAAGACGUGCGCGCAAGUGCGGACGCCCGCGGG
rnacentral:rRNA from 1 species